AGCGGCCCAAGGGACGGCUGGAGCGGAGCGGAGCGGCUCACAGGUCGGUGAGCGGAGCGGAGCGGCUCACAGGUCGGUGAGCGGAGCGGAGCAGCUGCCAGAGCAGUUCGUGGGACGGCAGGAGUGGGACUGCGGGUGGAGUGGAGCAGUUCGUGAUGAAGGCUGCGGUGGAACCCCACGGAGAAGCAGCCGGUUGGCCUCGGAUCACGUAAGGUGCCCCUUAACACCCUGCUCACCCCCCCCUUUGAACUCUGGGGCUGCACUGAUCAUGGACAGAGACUCUGGGGGGUUGUUGGACUUUUGGGACUUUUGUGAUUCUUGGGUUGCUGGACCCAAGAGACUUUGGGAUUGGUGGACUUUUGGGACUUUGGUGAUUCUUGGGUCGCUGGUUUCAAGAACCAACGGGAGAGGACACGGCCCAAUUUGCUGGGGUGGGUCUUCGCUCAUGGUUUGGUCUAAGAACUCUAGUUGUGGUGUUUUUCCAAUUUAAUGUUGAUGUUGUUUACCUCAUGUUAUUAAACAUUUUCUGUUA